rnacentral:rRNA from 1 species
GUAGGUGGCAAGCGUUGUCCGGAAUUAUUGGGCGUAAAGCGCGCGCAGGUGGUUCUUUAAGUCUGAUGUGAAAGCCCCCCGGCUCAACCGGGGGAGAGUCAUUGGAAACUGGGGAACUUGAGUGCAGGAGAGGAAAGUGGAAUUCCACGUGUAGCGGUGAAAUGCGUAGAUAUGUGGAGGAACACCAGUGGCGAAGGCGACUUUCUGGCCUGUAACUGACACUGAGGCGCGAAAGCGUGGGGAGCAAACAGGGAUUAGAUACCCUGGUAGUCCACGCCGUAAACGAUGAGUGCUAAGUGUUGGGGGGGGUUUCCGCCCCCUCAGUGCUGCAGCUAACGCAUUAAGCACUCCGCCUGGGAGUACGGUCGCAAGACUG